rnacentral:misc_RNA from 1 species
AACGCACAUUGCGCCCCUUGGUAUUCCAUGGGGCAUGCCUGUUCGAGCGUCAUUUGUACCCUCAAGCUCUGCUUGGUGUUGGGUGUUUGUCUCCCCUGGGAGACUCGCCUCAAAACAAUUGGCAGCCGGCAUAUUGGUAUCGGAGCGCAGCACAAGUCGCGCUUCUGUCCAUAUUUGUUGGCAUCCAGCAAGACCAUUUUUCACUCUUGACCUCGGAUCAGGUAGGGAUACCCGCUGAACUUAA